AUGAGCCGGCUGGGUGUGUGUCACCCCGGCGGGCUGGGAGAAGGGUGCGUGUCACCUGGGGACCUGGGAGAAGGGUGCGUGUCACCCUGGGGGUCUGGGGGACGGGCAGAGGGGGAGCCACCACAGAAGAAGACGCCACGGGAGGCAGGACCCAGUGCUGCGAGCUUGGAGCGUGGAGCAGGGAGCUCAGAGCAGGAGGUGGCGCUAGCGCCUGGGAGGGAAGGGAACCGUUUCCUCGCGGACCCAGCCUGCCACGCGUUGGUGCCACCCUGUGAGACCCACUCUGGCCUCCGGCCUUGGAGCCCCGUGAUAGCGCGCUGCCUUAGCCACGCAUGCUCGGUCUAUCUGGGGGCCACCCACCGCGUGCUCCGGCGCAGGGCCUGUCCCGCCCCGACAACACACAGCUGUCCCAGGACGCGUGGGCCUCACCCCUGGGCUGUGAGCGGGGGCGCCCUGGGCACAGGCGGGAGACGCACACCGAGGGCACGGUCACCCGCACAGGGAAGCCGAGGCACACCCAGGUGCCAGGGGGAAGCUGUUUGGGAACCAAGCGGCAGUGUAAGGAACACCAUCGAGGGGGUGUCCUUUCUGCAGCAGACGCAUCUGGAAUCUUCCGUCGUCGUGAGGUCAUGGGGUAAUAGAGGAUGUGCAAUUGGGAGGGGCUCCCAGAGCACCUGCUCCUCGCAGUUCUUCCUGAUCCUCCGUCCCACGGGGGCCCCCGCCCCCGCCUGGCUCACUGUCACGGGCAUCCCUCACUGUGUCAGGCCCUGGCCCUGCCCGCCCCUCCCUCCCUCCCUCCAGGACCCCGGGCCCCGGCGCCCCCCACCACCCACCAGGCAGGCCCUCCCGGUCUCCUCAGUGACGCCUGAAGGGGUGACCGUCUUGGUCUCAGGCCCCACGGGAGACGGGUGUCUGGCGUCGGAGCUGCCCACAGACGGGCCCCCGCCAUCUGGAGGGGCCCAGACCUCUAGGUUGUCGCUGUGCCGUGGGCGGUGCCAAAGAGGCUUCCAAGUGUAA
rnacentral:lncRNA from 1 species